rnacentral:rRNA from 1 species
UGCCAUCCGCCGCGGUAAUACGAAGGGACCUAGCGUAGUUCGGAAUUACUGGGCUUAGAGAGUUCGUAGGUGGUUGAAAAAGUCGGUGGUGAAAUCCCAGAGCUUAACUCUGGAACUGCCAUCAAAACUUUUCAGCUAGAGUUUGAUCGAGGAAAGCAGAAUUUCUAGUGUAGAGGUGAAAUUCGUAGAUAUUAGAAAGAAUACCGAUUGCGAAGGCAGCUUUCUGGAUCAUUACUGACACUGAGGAACGAAAGCAUGGGUAGCGAAGAGGAUUAGAUA